UUUUGACUAUUUGGUUUGUUUUAGGGCUGUCCAUAAAGCAGGAAACAUACAAACAGAAACAGAAAAAGAAUUGUUGCCAACCUUCCUGGAGUCAAGGCGACCUUCUAAGAGGAGGAUUUAGAGAUACGCUGGAUUUUCAGAAGGACAACGUGGGACCCAUGCUGCUGAGAAGAUCAUACAAGAGAACAAGAAGAGGCCGUUCCCAAGGCAUGGGGAAUGACUCUUUACGAAGCUUUCAGAUGCAUCUCACCCCUCUCAGCACCACGGAGAGUUGCGAAACCUACUCAAAGAGCCUCAACCCUUACAUUUCUACCCUCUGCAUCUUUACCAUCUUCAACGCCCACUGGAUCCACACACCAGCAUUGCCUGACAAUCAGUCACCCACUGAUACCACAUAUAGGAAGGACGUCAUCACCAGAGUCAUUUGGUGACUUGAUAUUCUUAACUUACAUGUGUCUUGUUGAGUUUCUACAAAUAUUCCUCAAAACUAGAAGCUUAAAGUUAUUUGGUGAGUGGAUGAAUGAAUGGCUAGAUGGAUCCUGACAUCUCCACCAGUUCCCUUUCCCUUCACCAUUCACAAAACUGCCGUGGUUCAAUUAGAUCAAAGCAAAAUAUGGAGUCAGAAAACUAUAAGCCCUUUCUAUGAACAGAGACUGGAGUCCUUGGUUAUUAAGAAUGGAAGUGAGCUUAGUAGAAUAUGCUAAGAGAAAGAGAAAACUUCUUGAUUCCCCCUUUCUGACCACAUCUGUUAGACUCUGGCAGUUUAUUCUAAAACAAACUUAAAAACCAAAGGAAACAAAAUUUUUCUUUUUGCAGCAAACCAUGCAGGCUCUUCACAGUCAGUGUGACUGUGUCUCCAUGCUUCAACACCAGAGAGCGAACAUUCUAGAACAAAGUGACAUAUACAAACCCUGAUCUAGCAUAAGACCUCAGUCAACCUUAGGCAACUUCCCCAAAUAAAGUCAUCUUAGUCUUCUU